UACGAAGGGGGCUAGCGUUGCUCGGAACCACUGGGCGUAAAGCGCACGUAGGCGGAUCUUUAAGUCAGGGGUGAAAUCCUGGAGCUCAACUCCAGAACUGCCUUUGAUACUGGGGAUCUCGAGUCCGGGAGAGGUGAGUGGAACUGCGAGUGUAGAGGUGAAAUUCGUAGAUAUUCGCAAGAACACCAGUGGCGAAGGCGGCUCACUGGCCCGGUACUGACGCUGAGGUGCGAAAGCGUGGGGAGCAAACAGG
rnacentral:rRNA from 1 species